AUGUUCUGUUCAUAGAUGAAUUGAGAAACUAAAGCCACAAGAAUAGCUCCAAGAACUGCUACUUUUCUCCAAUCGGUGGAUGAUGAGGCAAUAGAAUCUACUAUUGCAAAGCCCAGCAGGCCAAUAAAGAAGAGGUGCGUUCCUUCUGAGGUUCUUAAAGAAUAGCCCUUCGUUUCUUCCGUCCUCCAUUUGAACUUCAAACUCAUCUAAUUCGUUUUCACACUCUUGAAUCCCUUGUCUGAUAAUUUCUGCAGAUUCCUCAAAUUCCACCAUCUGGUUCUCUAUGUUUUCUGUUAUCUGCCAAACACAAACGAACACAACAGUUCGUUAUUAAAUUACCUUUCACAUAUAGAUAUUCCUUCAUGCCGUGCUCGAUGAUGGGCUAGUGUGUUUGGCACAAGAGACAAAAUUUUAAAAUUUGCAAAUUCAAAUUCAAAAACUAAAAUUGCACCACAUGGUAAAAUCAAAUGUUGAACCAUACUCUGGCACUAGCUUCAUCUAAUCCUUGGAGGGCAUCUUCUCCAAUUUUGUCAAACGCAGCCUUGGCUUCUUCACCAAAUUGGGUUAAAAAUGCAGAUCUCUCGUCUAGAUAGUCUGUGAGACGGACUUUUUGAGUUUGAAGCAUGGCAAUUUGUGCUAGCAGUUCUUGUUUACGGAUAUCUCCUGGUUGGGGAGCUUGGGAAUCUGAUUCAUUGGACUUGCAGAGGCACAAUACAGAACCUUUUGUGUUGAGGAAUCUCUUGCGGUAGAUGUUAUAUUUGAUAUUAGUAGGUGUGAAGAAAGGAUGAACUGAUUUGAGGGCAAUCAUCUUUUCAUAGCAAUGGAAACAUGUAUUUGCAUGGGUUUGAAAACAAUAAAGGAAACUCGGGGAGAAAGGGGAUGGUGAAGAAGGACCAAGUUUUAUUUGUGUUGGCUGCAAGUAUUUUUGGGCCUCUUGUUUUCUGUACAUUAUCUGUAUUGAAAACAAGGAAAGGGACAUUUUUGUUAGACAAAACAAAAGGCAAGUUUUUUUUGAAAAGAGAUAAUUGAAUUGAAUGUACUUUAGAGGACCUCUGCAGUUAAAAAACACUGCACUGCAGGGUCCUGCACUUA